UACAGAUAACUCAGGAUCAUGUUUAAUUAUGUAAAAAAAGCUCUAAAGUCAGGUAAUGGUUUUCAUGUGCUUCUCUUGAGCAGUCUGAGGACAGAAUAGAAACAGAAACCCCUUGGGACCUGAGUAGACACAGCUGGUCAAGCACAGGCAGAGGCUCUGGGUCAGUGCAGGAAGCAGAGACCAGGGUGUAUCAUCUUCACGUCCCCCAAGAUCUGUGCAAAGGUGAAAUCAGCUCACGAGGACACAGAACUUCAGCUUGAUGCAGACGUGUGGGAGGUGGGGGAACAGCUGUUACUCUUCUGAGGAAUAUGAAAGGUUCAAUCUUUUUAGGAAAUUGGAAGAUACCUCAUCUGGACCACUAGCAGCCUCUACCAGUCACUGGAAAAUGCCUAUAGGCAGUAGCCACCAAAGCGUGGCACAAAGUGGGCAUCAUCCUAGCGUCUAACAUUUAAGCUGUGGUUCUGGCUCCACAUUUCACAAGAAGAUGCCACCAAAGUUAAGGCUUGGUUCUGGGGAACAACCUAUGGAGAUUCCUAGAAACUGGCAAACCUCCC
rnacentral:lncRNA from 1 species